AUUGAACGCUGGCGGCAGGCUUAACACAUGCAAGUCGAACGAGUGGCGGACGGGUGAGUAAUGCUUGGGAACCUAGCUUAUGGAGGGGGAUAACUACGGGAAACAGUAGCUAAUACCGCGUACCAUAGGAUGAGCCCAAGUGGGAUUAGGUAGUUGGUGAGGUAAAGGCUCACCAAGCCGACGAACUCUAACUGGUCGGAGAGGAUGACCAGCCACACUGGGACUGAGACCCGGCCCAGCUUCCUACGUGAGGCAACAGUGGGGAAUAUUGCGCAAUGGGGGCAACCCUGACGCAUCCAUGCCGCGUGAAUGAAGAAGGCCUUCGGGUUGUAAAGUACUUUCAGUCGGGAGGCGUUACCCGCAGAGGAAGCCCCGGCUAACUCCGUGCCAGCAGCCGCGGUAAUUC
rnacentral:rRNA from 1 species